GGGGUGGAAAUGGCUUCGACUGGUGUUAUUUGAUAAUUAGUGCAACAGAGAUUGAGUAGGUCUCGUGACAAAAGACUCACAAAACCAAAAUGGCGAUAAAUCGCUUGAAGGUUUGAACAUUGAUUGGCAUUUAACCAAUUCAGAAAUGGGAUUCGACAACUAUGUUGAGACCACUUCCGAUGUUCAAUCAUCUUACGCUUUCACGGCAUAAGUUCUUGGGUUGUUUAACACCCAGGCAUAAAAAAAGUUAAACAGAAACUCAUAGUCAGAGUAUAAAGCAGACAACAGUUAAACCAUUCUGUGUAAAAUGGGACAUAGUGGGAUUGUUAGUAUGACUACUUAUUUGGAAACUAACAAAAGUUGUAUAUCACUAAUUAUUGGAAACAUACAGGACACGGGUUCGAUUCCCGUCCACUCCACAA
rnacentral:tmRNA from 1 species